GAUGAACGCUGGCUACAGGCUUAACACAUGCAAGUCGAGGGGAAACGACGGGGAAGCUUGCUUCCUUGGGCGUCGACCGGCGCACGGGUGAGUAACGCGUAUCCAACCUGCCUCUGACUGAGGGAUAACCCGUCGAAAGUCGGCCUAAUACCUCAUGGUAUCGUCUGCGGGCAUCCAACGACGAUUAAAGAUUUCAUCGGUCAGGGAUGGGGAUGCGUCUGAUUAGCUUGUUGGCGGGGUAACGGCCCACCAAGGCUACGAUCAGUAGGGGUUCUGAGAGGAAGGUCCCCCACAUUGGAACUGAGACACGGUCCAAACUCCUACGGGAGGCAGCAGUGAGGAAUAUUGGUCAAUGGGCGAGAGCCUGAACCAGCCAAGUAGCGUGCAGGAAGACGGCCCUAUGGGUUGUAAACUGCUUUUAUGCGGGGAUAAAGUGAGGGACGUGUCCUUCAUUGCAGGUACCGCAUGAAUAAGGACCGGCUAAUUCCGUGCCAGCAGCCGCGGUAAUACGGAAGGUCCUGGCGUUAUCCGGAUUUAUUGGGUUUAAAGGGAGCGUAGGCCGUGGAUUAAGCGUGUUGUGAAAUGCAGGUGCUCAACGUCUGCACUGCAGCGCGAACUGGUCCACUUGAGUGUGCGCAACGCAGGCGGAAUUCGUCGUGUAGCGGUGAAAUGCUUAGAUAUGACGAAGAACUCCGAUUGCGAAGGCAGCUUGCGGGAGCACAACUGACGCUGAAGCUCGAAAGUGCGGGUAUCGAACAGG
rnacentral:rRNA from 1 species